UCCCUGGUAGUUCACUGGUCAGUACACGCGCCCAAAAUACACAAAGUCGCAGGCACGAGAGCUGGGUUCGAUUCCCAGCUAGGGAU